CGGGGCGUGGCGCAGUCCGGUAGCGCACCUGCUUUGGGAGCAGGGGGCCGAAGGUUCAAAUCCUUUCGCCCCGA
rnacentral:tRNA from 1 species